rnacentral:rRNA from 1 species
GAUGAACGCUGGCGGCGUGCCUAAUACAUGCAAGUCGAGCGACCGGACGAUAAGCUUGCUUCUCUGAUGUUAGCGGCGGACGGGUGAGUAACACGUGGAUCACCUACCUAUAUGACUGGGAUAACUUCGGGAAACCGGAGCUACUACCGGCUAAUAUUUUGUACUGCAUGGUUCAAGAGUGAAAGACGGUCUUGCUGUCACUUAUAGCUGGUUCCGCGCUGCAUUAGCUAGUUGGUAAGGUAACGGCUUACCAAGGCAACGAUGCAUAGCCGACCUGAGAGGGUGAUCGGCCACACUGGAACUGAGACACGGUCCAGACUCCUACGGGAGGCAGCAGUAGGGAAUCUUCCGCAAUGGGCGAAAGCCUGACGGAGCAACGCCGCGUGAGUGAUGAAGGUCUUCGGAUCGUAAAACUCUGUUAUUAGGGAAGAACAUAUGUGUAAGUAACUGUGCACAUCUUGACGGUACCUAAUCAGAAAGCCACGGCUAACUACGUG